UCCGGCUCCAGUAGCGUAUAUUAAAGUUGUUGCAGUUAAAAAGCUCGUAGUUGGAUUUCUGGCUUGAGACGGCUGGCCCGCCUAGGUUUCUAGGUGAGUGCCGGUGUGUCUCUGCCAUCCUUCUGGAAAUCGAUCCUACUCUUCAGUGAGCCGGGAUCGCGAUCCAGAUCUUUUACUUUGAAGAAAUUAAAGUGUUCAAAGCAGGCUUGUGCCGUGAAUACAUUAGCAUGGAAUAAUAAUUUAGGACUUUGGUUCUAUUUUGUUGGUUUCUAGAACUGAAGUAAUGAUUGAUAGGGAUAGUUGGGGGUGCUAGUAUUCAGAGGCCAGAGGUGAAAUUCUUGGAUUCUCUGAAGACUAACUUAUGCGAAAGCAUUCACCAAGGAUGUCUUCUUUAAUCAAGAACGAAAGUUGGGGGAUCGAAGAGGAUCAGAUACCCUCGUAGUCUCAACCAUAAACUAUGCCAACUAGGGAUUGGUGAGCGUUGCUUUUUCGACCUCAUCAGCACCUUAUGAGAAAUCAAAGUUUUUGGGUUCCGGGGGGAGUAUGGUCGCAAGGCUGAAACUUAAAGGAAUUGACGGAAGGGCACCACCAGGAAUGGAGCCUGCGGCUUAAUUUGACUCAACACGGGAAAACUUACCAGGUCCAGACAUAAGUAGGAUUGACAGAUUGAAGAUCUUUCUUGAUUUUAUGGGUGGUGGUGCAUGGCCGUUCUUAGUUGGUGGUGUGAAUUGUCUGGUUAAUUCCGUUAACGAACGAGACCUCUACCUGCUAAAUAGUGUGGCGAAUCUUUGGAUUCGUACAAACUUCUUAGAGGGACUAUCGGUGUGUAGCCGGUGGAAGUUGGAGGCAAUAAC
rnacentral:rRNA from 1 species